UAGAGAGGUUAUUUGGGCCAAGUUUGAAGAUUGCAACCCGGGAGCAUAGCUUCAAGUUGCCCUGAACAUAGGAUUUGCAACAGUGACAAAGGUGAGGCCAGAGAAGUGACAAGACAGAUGCCAGUCCAGCAGGUGGGCAUGUCCAGAAAGUGCAGCCUCAGGACACGGUCUGGGAACAAAGACUGCUGGAGAGUUGGAAGCUGGCAAGAGGCUCUCAGCUGUGAAGUACCUGGGGUGGGGGAGAAGUGGUCGGAGAAAGCAGAGACAUUUGGCUUCACUUGAACCUGUGUUUGAAGCUUUAGUGAACAUUGUCUUUGGGAGUAAGAAGUACUAGAAAAUUUAUGUUCAUCUGCAUCUUGUCACUGGGACAUGAGCAUAGGUGGUCUACCUUCAGUUUGGUCUGUGAACAGGAGGAUUACUUGAGCUCAGGAGUUCUAGUCCAGCCUGGGCAACAGAGCAAGACCCUGUCUCAAAAAGAAAGAAAGAAAUGAGGAUAUGAGUUUGCUGCUCUUUAAAUCGAUGACUUUGCAGCUCUUCAUCUGAAGAGGUGGCGUCUGUUUCUCCUGUUUGAGUGUGGCACAUCCAGGAGAGUGGCUUUGAGCAGUGGUGUGGCAGACGUGACUGUAGGCCAGCCCUGAGCUGAGGCUGCCAGGGGACUGCACACUUCUUCUCUCAGCUCUGCCAGCUGCUGCACUGUGUCUGGGCCAGCCCGCUGGAGCACAGAGUUCAGUGCAUUGGGACAGCUACAGCCCAUUGCAUCGGGACAGCCCACAGCAACAAGACCCACCUGUCGCCACUGCAGGUGCGUGAGGGUGCCCGGCUGAGAGCAGACAAACCGCCUAGCAGGUGGCUUUUCAAGCGGAAUCACAGACUAGCUCCAUCGCUGUGGUGAACGUUCUCCCCAGUGCCAGGAUUCCACUUGGCCCCUGACUGCUUGAGCAGCCGAUGUGACAGCCAUCUCUCUGCUGCCGUGCAUGUCGGCUGGGCUGGAGCCAGUGCAUCAGGAAGUAGACGCAGAAGUGGAUCAGGAGCAAAACAUUCCUGAGAGCUGGCAGAAGCUGGCGUCUGGAGCCGCUGGGAUGCGGGUAUGGGCUCUCUCAGUGGCGGAGGAACAGCCUCCUGGCAGAACCAAAGGUUGCUUUGUGCCUUCGAUGCUGCUGCUGGCCAGAGUGGUUUUCUGUCUCAGACCCUGUACCACGUGUCUGUUCUUUCUCAUUUUUUACUUAAAGGAGAAGAAAAUGAUUAUGUGUA
rnacentral:lncRNA from 1 species